UGAGUAACCUGCCCUUAACUCUGGGAUAAGCCUGGGAAACUGGGUCUAAUACCGGAUAUGACUCCUCAUCGCAUGGUGGGGGGUGGAAAGCUUUAUUGUGGUUUUGGAUGGACUCGCGGCCUAUCAGCUUGUUAGUGAGGUAAUGGCUCACCAAGGCGACGACGGGUAGCCGGCCUGAGAGGGUGACCGGCCACACUGGGACUGAGACACGGCCCAGACUCCUACGGGAGGCAG
rnacentral:rRNA from 1 species